GACGAACGCUGGCGGCGUGCCUAAUACAUGCAAGUAGAACGCACAGUUUAUACCGUAGCUUGCUACACCAUAGACUGUGAGUUGCGAACGGGUGAGUAACGCGUAGGUAACCUGCCUGGUAGCGGGGGGUAACUAUUGGAAACGAUAGCUAAUACCGCAUAAUAUUAAUUAUUGCAUGAUAAUUAAUUGAAAGGUGGAAUUGCACCACUACCAGAUGGACCUGCGUUGUAUUAGCUAGUAGGUGAGGUAACGGCUCACCUAGGUGACGAUACAUAGCCGACCGGAGAGGGCGAGAGGCCGCCCUGGGACGGAGACACGCCCCAGACGGCUACGGGAGGCAGCAGGAGGGAUUCGUGGGGAAGGGACGAAAGUUUGACCGAGCAACGCCGAGGGAGGGAAGAGGGUUUCCGGAUCGUAAAGCUCGGUUGUAAGAGAAGAACGGGUUUGAGAGUGGAAAGUUCACACUGUGACGGUAUCGGACCAGAAAGCGACGGCUAACUACGUG
rnacentral:rRNA from 1 species